rnacentral:rRNA from 1 species
GUCUUUUUGAAAUUUAAUUUAAAGUCUAAUCUGCCCACUGAUAAAUAUUAAAUGGCCGCAGUAUUCUAACUGUGCAAAGGUAGCAUAAUCAUUAGUCUUUUAAUUAAAGGCUUGUAUGAAUGAUUGGACGAGAUAAAAGCUGUCUCAAAAAAAAAAUUGAAUUUUAUUUUUUAGUCAAAAAGCUAAACUAUUUUUAAAAGACGAGAAGACCCUAUAGAUCUUUAUAAAAUUUAAAUUUAUUUUUUUUAGUUAUUUUUUAAAUUAAUUUAUUAUUUUAUUUUAUUGGGGUGAUAUUAAAAUUUAAAAAACUUUUAAUUAUUAAAAUACAUUAAUUUAUGAAUAAAUGAUCCUAUAUUAUUGAUUAAAAAUUUAAGUUACCUUAGGGAUAACAGCGUAAUUAUUUUAGAGAGUUCUUAUCGAUAAAAUAGAUUGCGACCUCGAUGUUGGAUUAAGAUUAAUUUUGGGGGUAGUAGUUCAAAAUAUUAAGUCUGUUCGACUUUUAAUUUCUU